rnacentral:rRNA from 1 species
CGCAUCUGUGCAUGCAGCAUAUCAAUAAGCGGAGGAAAAGAAACUAACAAGGAUUCCCUAGUAACGGCGAGUGAAGCGGGAAGAGCUCAAAUUUGAAAUCUUCAAGGUUUUACCUUGACGAAUUGUAGUUUAAAGAAGUGUCUUCUGCUGAAGUUUUGGUAAAAGUUCUUUGGAAUAGGACAUCAUAGAGGGUGAGAAUCCCGUAUUUGACCAUUACUUUUCAGCUUUGUGAUACACUUUCAAAGAGUCGGAUUGUUUGGGAAUGCAGUCCAAAAUGGGUGGUAAAUUUCAUCUAAAGCUAAAUAUUGGCGAGAGACCGAUAGCGAACAAGUACCGUGAGGGAAAGAUGAAAAGAACUUUGAAAAGAGAGUUAAACAGUACGUGAAAUUGUCAAAAGGGAAGCGUUUGACACCAGUGUUGUUUUUCUGAAAAUCAAUUAAAGAACUGUUUAUGCUAGUUGUUUAGACUUUAUCAGCUAAUCUGCUUAGUUUUGAGCUUUUCUUUAAUGCACUUUUCAGUUAACAAGUCAACAUCAAUUUCUUUUGCUGUAAAAAAGCUUGAGGAAGGUGGCUUGAGAUUCGUCUUAAGUGUUUAUAGCCUCUUGCCUAUGCAGUCGGAGAGAUUGAGGUCUGCAGCGUAGAUCCUUCGGGGCUAAAUGCAUUUGUGCUAAGUUAUAGCAUUUUAUAGACAACUUGUUGACUAUGAUUUGUCUUGUAGCUUACUCGCUUAUGUUAUUUUACCUACGCUUAGGAUGUUGAUAGUCACAGCGUGUAC